AAUGUUUGGUCGUCUCUCAAGAGCAGGGACUACGUUUUCCACGUGCUUCAAUUUAAUUACCCAACUAACUUCAAUCUGUCGCGCAGGGUGUUCUUGGCAUCAAGGUGAAGAUCAUGCUUGACUGGGACCCGAAGGGCAAGGUUGGCCCGAUCACUCCUCUUCCGGACCUGGUGACCAUCCACACCCCGAAGGACGAGGACGAGCCGCGCCCUCCGGUCUUGGCACCUCCUGAGGUGUAAGGUCCCAACUGUGUCCUUGAAAUGGCAGUUUGAUCGGGUCCUAGAUAGGU
rnacentral:lncRNA from 1 species